CUCUGCCCUCAACUCUCUCCCAUGCUGCUGCUGCCCAGCACAGAAGCUUCUGAUCCUGUUACUGUUCCGGACCAAAUCACAAGCUAUCUAGCAGAUAGAGCCUCCUGUGUAAGCUGCUUGGCAACUAAAAAAAAAAAAACUGUUUGAACCCUGGACGUUUGCAGAGAGACCAAAGGCCAUUUUCCGAGAUGGAUGAAACCGGCUGAAUGUGUUGCAAUGACAGAAAUCCCUAUUUAACAUGUCAAAGUCAAGUCGAUUUAGGUUGGGGAUUGAGAGGCAGAGCGUAGAACGUUUCUUGCUCUCCACUGAGGGACAGUCAACGCAGAGUUUGCCAUACUAACGGAUCCUGUGACUAAUGAAAAUGGAGACAUGAAGCUGUCCAACAGCAGAGCAGUGCAAACCCUCACAUAAGGGCUGUGCUUAGUCCACUAAGGAGCACUUCCUCCUUCACUUCAAUGAUCUCUGUUGACUUCUGGGAGUUGCCUCGAAAACCCCUUCAAAAUAAAGUUUAACUUCAGGAGAUAUAAGUGAAUCAGCCUGACAACGACCCACAAUCAAUCAAGUCUUUCCUCCAAAAUACAGAAAAACAAAGAGGAACCUCUGAGGCAUCAGGAACCCAAGAGAAUCUUGGCAGUGGGAUAUUUCUCUCCAGCAAAAGGAAGAAGAAUUGGCUGUGGGAAGUCUUUGGAAUAACCUAUGUAUCAGGAAAGUUUCAGUCAGGGAACCAGCAGAAAUUGCUCCAGGAAAGGGGCAGCCAUUGAAUAAAAGACUGCGCUGAAGAAAACUGAGGUGAAUUACACCUGGGAGCAAACCACAUGGAAAAUCUGAAGAAGUCAGAGGUCGUCAGUUGUUCACAUGCUGAAGAGCACUCAGAGCCUCAUUCUAUGAUAUCAGGUAGUCGUGCAGCCCUUUCUUGUCUACAUUCUCCUUAUAAAACACCCCAAAGGAAAAGGAAUCGCCUCCCCCAGGCUAGGCUCAAAGGAUUAGCACAUGUCUGCCUUAGUAUAAUUAAUGUGAGAAAUGAUAAAAUACAAAUUUGACCAGUGAAUUAAUAAAAAUGUUUUGUGAGGUAUGUUCUAGA